rnacentral:rRNA from 1 species
GACGAACGCUGGCGGCAUGCCUAACACAUGCAAGUCUAGGGGUAGCAAUACCACUGGCGCACGGGUGAGUAACACGUAGGUUAUCUGCCCCCAUCACAGACAUAACCCCGGGAAGCCGGGGCUAAUAUCUGAUGAGGUCGCGAGAUCAAAGCUUCGGCGGAUGGGGAUGAGCCUGCGGCUGAUUAGCUAGUUGGUGAGGUAAUGGCUCACCAAGGCGACGAUCAGUAGCUGGUCUGAGAGGACGAACAGCCACACUGGAACUGAGACACGGUCCAGACUCCUACGGGAGGCAGCAGUGAGGAAUAUUGGUCAAUGGGAGCAAUCCUGAACCAGCAAUGCCGCGUGUGGGAUGACAGGGCUUCGCCUUGUAAACCACUGUCGGACGGGACGAAAGAAGGCCUCGGGGCCUCUGGGACGGUACCGUCAAAGGAAGGGUCGGCUAACUACGUGCCAGCAGCCGCGGUAAU